rnacentral:lncRNA from 1 species
GGACAUUUAACUUAUCAUGGCGAUCAAACUAACUCGGCGAGCUUGAUUAAUAGGCAAUCUAAGGCGGGUUCAAGUUUCUUUUUCUCUUGCAAACGUUAAAUCUCACCAUGGCGAAAUUAAUAAUCAAGCAAUCCACUUUUUGGCGAUCAAGGUGCCUCAUUAUUUCUUAAUGAAUAGACGACUUGAUAUUGGCGAUAACAAAACUGGCGAAUUAAAAUUGUUGAAAUUGGCGACAUAACUUUCUGGCUAAUACUGGUGAUAAGUACAACACAAUAAAAUAAUAAUUAAAUAAAACUAAAUUAAGGGCCACUUUAUGUUCGGUUGACCGUUUGGACUACAAUUAUUCAGUCCCAUCACAACACCAACUAACUUUUUGCUAGUCCUAGCAAAUUAAAUAAAAAUAAAAAGAGAAUUCUCUCUUUUCGUAAGAGUCCCGAAUGCAUUUAGCAUAUACAUCAAGCUUUAAACCCCUAAAUACCCAUAUGGAUGAGUGGUGUCUCGUGAGGGCUUCCAGUGAUGAUAACCCACAAACAUCACAUCAUGCAAUGUACAAAAUAAUUUAAUAAUAGCUUCUCAUAAAAAAUACAGUGCAAGCAAUUCAACAACCAAAAUUAUGGGCUAGCAGUCUACCAAACCGUCAAGUUAAUUAACGAGAGAUUCCAAGUAUGAAGUAGGAGUCAGAUUCCUCAAAUUUCAAUCAUUACGCAUCCCAUAACAAUAAGCUAUAGCCUCGAUUCAAAAAAUCACAAGUCAUACUCUUCAAUAAUUGAACACACAAGUUUUCUCAAGAAAUGCUGUUGUACGAGGUAAGCGUAAAAGUAAUUCGAAUAGAGCCAUCCAAUUUUAAAAACUUGCAAGACAUAAAGUGUAUCGACUUGGCAUAACUUCAUGAAAGAAUGUUCACCGUGAUGCACAGUUGUGCAUUUUGACUUGAUGACGUUUACAUGCAAUAAUUCGGAAGACGUAUGCAUUUCGGAUAUUAAGGUCAUAUGAGUGAAAGGAUAAUCCAAGAAAGUAAAGGGGAUCAAGUGUGGUAUAAAAUCUCAACAUAUUGCUUGGCCACUAAAUGCCAACUUAAUAGCAUACAGCUUCAAAACUCCUCUUUUUUUCAAUUUUUUUUCUUUAUUUUUCUUUAUUGUUUUUCGUUCUCCCUUCUCUGGAUUCUCAACAUUCUCACAAAAAGAUUACGCUAUUCUUAUUCCCCCAAUUUAGUAGUAGACUUCAGAUUAACCUGCUUCUUGAGAUCUUUUUUAUAUGGCCAAUUACCGAAAAGAUAACAGAACGGAAGAUAUAGGACUUGGCCUCAAUUUAACGAAAAAUCCGAAACGGGAAAGCAUGUAACAGGUGUAAAAAAUCCCAAAAUCAUCACACAUAAACAUGUAAACAAAUUUUAAAAAUAUGAAGUAAAAAAAACAAGUUAUCAAAGAAUGAAGUCAGCAAAUUUCUUGAGUAAAUGUUAAAAUCGUCACAAAAAUGAUUUAUGGCUCUAAAUCUAACAAGGUAUAAAUCUCCACUGUAUGAAUGCAGUCAUAGAGAUUUGCGAUGGUUCAUUUUGAAAAUAUUGACUCCCGUGCGCGGUGUAAGUUGAUCAUCUCUCUGUUGAUUGCACAAACAAUAAAGUAUCAAGCAUGCAAGAUCGAAAAUUGACAUGAUUAAUCGCUUAACACAUCAUAUUAUGCAAAGAAGUCAGUUGAUUCAAGCAUCUUUGAAAAAAACAACACAUGAUGAUGCAGUUAUGGUCCCAAAACUCGAGAGUUCUGAACACAUCCACAUUACAGAAGAACAAAUCGAAAUAUGGAAUAUGAAAGUAACUUUGCGUUUCUAAAGAAACCAAAAACAAACCUUCCUUGCUUGACAUUAAUUAAAUGAACCUAUUUUUGUCAAUUUGUAAUUAUUGCAGAACAACUUCUGUCCUAAAAAGAAAUUAAUUAAACGAUCAAAAAUCGCACUCAUCCAUUACAACAUCCAACUAACAUUAAGCAUCUCCAAAUGGUAACAUGAUCCAAACUACAACAUAGCAACAUAACAUCCGAAAAUAAAGGAAAAUCAAUUAAGAAAUCCUAAUCCUCCUCCUGGUGCAUCAAUCUUCCUCUUCCUUCUCCAUACGGAUCAACAUUCCCUUCAUGUCUUUGAGCAUAAUCGGUGACGACUAGACUUCUUCCUCUACGCGUCACCGGGUAUUCACUUUCUGCCUCUAAUUCAGACAUUUGCUUACUCAUCCUCUUUUCCCAAAUUCAUGAUGGCUUCCUUAGCCACCCAUGCCUAUAGGCUCUCCCUCAUGUGUUCUUCCUCCAUUUCCUUUUCUUCCUUUGCCCCUUAGAUUGAGACAAGAGCUCUAUCAAAUGGACUCCUUCUUCUUUAAAUAACUCCAUCAGAAUCCCGGAAAGGCACUGACCCCUCUUGUCUGAAGCCUUUUGUGGCGACAGAGAUAAAAAUAUUAAUACGAUGUAAGUCAUGAUCUUCCCAGUACCAAUUGCCCACAAUAGUCUGCCUUAGCAAA